GGACAGAUAGCUCAGUGGUAGAGGUAUGUUGAUAAUGUCUCACACAGUAAUCCACGAAUGCUAACAAACGUAUCAGCGAGGGAUUGCAGAUCCCUAGGUCGCGUGUUCGAUCCACGCUCGGUCCU